rnacentral:rRNA from 1 species
UGGGGGAUAUUGCGCAAUGGGGGAAACCCCGACGCAGCAACGCCGCGUGAAGGAAGAAGGUUUUCGGAUUGUAAACUUCUUUUGUCAGGGACGAAACAAAUGACGGUACCUGACGAAUAAGCUCCGGCUAACUACGUGCCAGCAGCCGCGGUAAUACGGGGGGUGCAAGCGUUGUCCGGAAUCAUUGGGCGUAAAGCGUUCGUAGGCGGUAUGUCAAGUCUGGUGUUAAAGCCCGAGGCUCAACCUCGGUUCGGCAUUGGAUGCUGGCAAACUAGAAUGUGGUAGAGGUAAAGGGAAUUCCUGGUGUAGCGGUGAAAUGCGUAGAUAUCAGGAGGAACAUCGGUGGCGAAAGCGCUUUACUGGACCAUUAUUGACGCUGAGGAACGAAAGCCAGGGGAGCAAAUG